AUUGAACGCUGGCGGCAGGCCUAACACAUGCAAGUCGAACGGUAACAGGAAGCAGCUUGCUGCUUCGCUGACGAGUGGCGGACGGGUGAGUAAUGUCUGGGAAACUGCCUGAUGGAGGGGGAUAACUACUGGAAACGGUAGCUAAUACCGCAUAACGUCGCAAGACCAAAGAGGGGGACCUUCGGGCCUCUUGCCAUCGGAUGUGCCCAGAUGGGAUUAGCUAGUAGGUGGGGUAACGGCUCACCUAGGCGACGAGCCCUAGCUGGUCUGAGAGGAUGACGAGCCACACUGGAACUGAGACACGGACCAGACUCCUACGGGAGUCAGCAGUGGGGAAUAUUGCACAAUGGGCGCAAGCCUGAUGCAGCCAUGCCGCGUGUAUGAAGAAGGCCUUCGGGUUGUAAACUUCUUUCAGCGGGGAGGAAGGCGGUGGAGUUAAUAACUUCACCGAUUGACGUUACCCGCAGAAGAAGCACCGGCUAACUCCGUGCCAGCCGCCGCCGUAA
rnacentral:rRNA from 1 species